rnacentral:rRNA from 1 species
AGAGUUUGAUCAUGGCUCAGAAUCAACGCUGGCGGCGUGCCUAACACAUGCAAGUCGCACGAGAAAGGGUAGCAAUACCUGAGUACAGUGGCGCACGGGUGAGUAACACGUGAAUCAUCUACCUUCGAGUGGGGAAUAACUGGGAGAAAUCUCAGCUAAUACCGCAUAAAACCUACGGGUCAAAGCAGCAAUGCGCUUGAAGAGGAGUUCGCGGCAGAUUAGUUAGUUGGCGGGGUAAUGGCCCACCAAGACGAUGAUCUGUAUCCGGCCUGAGAGGGCGCACGGACACACUGGAACUGAAACACGGUCCAGACUCCUACGGGAGGCAGCAGUGGGGAAUUUUGCGCAAUGGGGGAAACCCUGACGCAGCAACGCCGCGUGGAGGAUGAAAUCCCUUGGGAUGUAAACUCCUUUCGAUCGGGACGAUUAUGACGGUACCGGAAGAAGAAGCCCCGGCUAACUUCGUGCCAGCAGCCGCGGUAAUACGAGGGGGGCAAGCGUUGUUCGGAAUUAUUGGGCGUAAAGGGCGCGUAGGCGGUUUGACAAGUCUGAUGUGAAAUCUAUGGGCUCAACCCAUAGCCUGCAUUAGAAACUGUCGGGCUUGAGUAUGGGAGAGGUGAGUGGAAUUUCCGGUGUAGCGGUGAAAUGCGUAGAUAUCGGAAGGAACAUCUGUGGCGAAAGCGGCUCACUGGACCAUAACUGACGCUGAGGCGCGAAAGCUAGGGGAGCAAACAGGAUUAGAUACCCUAGUAGUCC